CACUCAGGAACCACUGAAUCAGAAUCUCUGAUGUCCUGGGACCUGCAGGAGCUUAUUCAAACUUCCCAGAGUUAAACGCAAUCAUCAGGGCGAAUGAAGAUGCCUUUUAGCACAGGCUCUGCAGUCACUCAGUCCUGGGCAUUUGGACCCUGGCUCAACUCCUUAGCCUUGUAUGGAGACACAAAAGGCCCCCUUUGAUGGCCUCGAUCACCAACAGCUUCCCUGACUCAGCAGACAGAGAGGAGAGGAACACCCAGCUGAGUCAUUUCUCAU